CAAGGGAGGUUCGGCCGAACCUGGGGCUGACCCAAUCCAGCCCAAUUUCGGCUGGCGGCCGGCCUCCUCUGCUGCUUCACUUCGUAGACUUGUGAAUUUUGGCCUGAUUCAUCUUGUCAAUUCUGAGUUCUUGGCCCAUUCAUACACAAGUCUGGUUCUCGACAUCGUCCGAUUGAUUUAUCAUCUGAGUUGAUGUCGAUUCUCCUCCACUUUAUUGUCAUUCUCUGCAAAAGGUUAUUAGACCUAAUACUAGUGGAAUAUUAUUAUUCUAACAUAUUUAUGCAUUGCAAGCAUCACUAGUUCUCACCUAUUUUAGUAAUAUUGACGGUCGAAACUAGUCGAUAACGACCGUCAACACUAACCCUGUCUGACUCGAACCCUGCCGAUCUUAGUCGUAGCCAAUUCGGACUUUAGCCGAUCCUCACUCUAUUUCAGGGACAAUCUCUAUCUCGAACUCCGUCUUGAUUCCUCCUUCACGUCCGAUCCUUGGAUUACCAAAUUUGGUCGUUAACAGAACCCCAACGGCAAGGCACCUCCUCCCCUCCCCUCCCUCCCUUCACCCGCAACGCAACAAGACCCCCUUCUUCUUCUCCAGCAAGGCAGCAACCUGGAUCGACCAAAGACCAAUGGAGCUCUCGGAAUCCUCCUCCAACGCAAAUCUUCUUGGACAAUCUUCCAAAGUCAGAAAGUCAAACCCGCCACACGCCUAGUAGACUUGCGCGGGGGAGGGAGAAGGCAGCGGCGUUCCCGGAGUCCACCGUGCGGAGCGAGCACCUCGCAGCGAUGGCGACGGCGAAGGCGGAUGAUCUCCUAGCGCCAGCAGAGGAGACGAGCAGCGUCGGUGGUUGGAUUGGGAGUCCGCCGCGUGGAGUCCUCCCUACGCCAACAACGGUUCAACGGAGGCGGAACAUCGCGCGGAGCGGGCACCUCCCGGCGACGGCGACGUCGGAUGACCUCCCAGAGCCAGCAGAGGAGACGAGCGGCGUCGGCGGUUGGAUAGGGAACCCUAACCCUAAAUGCACCUCAAAUCGCGGAGACGAACGACGAGCGCCGUCUACGCGCCGGCUCUGACCUGUGCCUCGUCACCCACCUCGCCCGCCGCCAUCGCGCCUCCGCCGCCCCCUCCUUCCCCUAACCCUAACCGCACCUCAAAUCGUGCCGCCGCGCGGAGUCCUUCCCGCCAGCGGCGGUUCAACGAAGACGGUAGCGGCGGGGGACUGGAUGUCGUGGGGGAUUGGAUUUGUUUUUUUUUUUUGCAUUUUUAUUCUGUGGCGACGUGGUCAGCCGAUGGUGCACGCUUGCGCGGUUUGUUUGGGCCGGAUGACAGGUGGGUCCCAUGGGAUAGUGGAUAUGAAGGAUUGCAGAAUUAUGGAUGAACUCGUAUUUUUUAUAUUAGUAUAGAUGACUGCAAUUAAUUGUUAACCACGAGCCAUUUUUUUAAUUUUUUUCAGGCACAAUGUAUACAGCAGCGAAUUUUCAGUCAUUUCAAACUGUCGUAGUUAUCGUCUCCCCACUUUUUUCGGAUAGUUUUUUUUUCUCGCCGGCGACAGUGAGCGCCCUUCUUCUCUCGUCGCCCGUGCAGCGGAGGUCGCCCGCGCCGCCGCAAGUUCCUUCCAGGCGGGGAGGUAACAUGCUACACAACACCGCCCCCAAAACAUUUUCCCCUGUUGGAUGGCGACUUGGGCGCUCCAUCGACUACUGGAUGGCACCAUGCGGUUGAGGCUGCGACACCCCCCACCCCCACACCCCCCCGCCCUGUGGCACCGUCGGCUGCCCCUUUGUCGCCGACAUCCAUCCCAUCGCCGGAUCUAGGAGAGCUUCGCCCGAAUUCUCUUCUGAUUCUUGCGUGUCGGUGGUGGGUGGAGAGCAGCGGUACCAACGACAUUUGAAGCACAGAGGGUGGCAGGAUUCGGAGAGGAGGCUGCGGAUCAGGGGUCCGAUGGGUCGUUCUCCCUCCUCCCUAAAGCGGUGGCGAAGGAUGUCAGUAAAUUGUUGUUGGCGUUGUGCGCGGCAGGUCAGCGCCGCCAAGGAAUACAGGAGGUCCGUGUAGCGGCUGUAGUCAAUUGAAAUCUAUUUCAGGUACAGCUCGUUAGUUCCUAUCAACUAAGGCUGUGUUUAGAUCCAAAGUUUGGAUCCAAACUUCAGUCCUUUUUCAUCACAUCAACCUGUCAUACACACAACUUUUCAAUCACAUCAUCUCCAAUUUCAACCAAAAUCCAGCCUAAGUAGUAGCGUUAUAUGGUAUCAGUAGUUUUUUUAUCAGCCUGUAUUGGAUUGCACCGUCGUUUUGAUUUUGGAUGAGCUAUGUGCCUGUGUUGGCUGUGGGGAUGCGGUUUUGUUAAGAUUGGGUAGUAACAACUGAUUAAUGCCUGCCGACGGAAGGGCAUGCAUUUCAAUUGGCAGCCAACGGGAUGAAGUUAAUAUAUGUCAGGUACCUAACAGAACUAAUCUAUUCAUGUGUUUUGUAUCCGUGUAUUGAGUGGACACAUCCAACCUAAACACAUUAGAAGUUGUUUGGUGGAUGGCUUCGCUUGGUGCUAUAAGUGUAUACGUGAUGAAUCAUGCAUGCAGGGCUGUUCUUAGCUUCUGAAAACAAUAGAAGAACUAGGAUGAUCUGUAGAUGUGCACAUGUGGCCUAGAGUCAGCUUAGGUGUCGCAUUCUCUGACAAACGAUUGCUUUGGUAAACCAAGACUGGUGUUUUUUAUUAGUACUAAUUUGGUUUAUUUGAUUAGUUGUAUAUACAAUCAAUUGUUUCCUGUAAAUAAUUUUGACUGAACGUUACAAUGGAAGUUAUUCUAUGUCCUCCAUGGCAUUCAGAUGGUAACUGAAAAUAUAUGAUCGCUGGUAGGAGUAUGUGCUUUCAACUCUGUAGCUUGCAGCAGUUCUCUUGGUAAAAACGAGCCAAAAAUUCUCUAAUAAGCUUAAUCCACACGAUCAACAAUUCAUAAGCCUCUUGAUCAACGUUUUGCCACUUAUCCCUGAUAUGUACCACCAAAUGCCCAUUUAGAUUUCCCAUGAGCUUGCACUUGCAUUAACUUUUGGCUUUUCAGCCUGCAAGCAUCACCAUGUCCUGUGCAAUGCUCAGUUGCUCAUAGCCUCAUACUAUGAGUCAAUCCACUAAGGCAUCCCUACUCAUAGUGCAUAUAUAUGGCAAAUUUUGGUCUUGCAGGAGCACAAUGUAACCCGGUGGACUCGAAGAUGAUGAAAUGCAUCAUGCGGUGACCUGGGAAACAUUGUCGCUAGCGCCGGAGCGGCCAUGCUUGAUCCUGGGCUGCCCAUCCUGAUUCCUAAUGCUACCGCCACACAGUCCUGUUCUACGCUGGUUGGUUGGCGAGCCAGCCGCCUCCACUACAACAUUCGUCCAUCAAAGAUGGAUCCCGCGGUGAAGAGGAGGAUAUGCUGAUCUGAAUUUCUUUGAUGAUUUUUGUUGGAGUGUUUAUAUCCUUUGUAACUUUUUUACUUUUGAGUUUAAGCAUAUCAUUUGUUUAUUGUAUAGUGUGUCUGAAUGUAACAGAACCCGUGUGUAAAAGAAAAUAUUGUCAAUAGAGGCUACAAUGUUAACUGGUAGCUUGGUUUUCUGAUGAAUACAAGUUAAUUGGUAAUGUAGUGUGGAGGUGAAUAA